rnacentral:lncRNA from 1 species
ACAAAGUUGAUAAAGCUGUAGCGGAUCUUAAGAAGUAUAUGAAAAAUGAGCUCAACAAACUAAAUCUGAAAGUGUGCUUUUAUUUGUCAUUUAAAUUCUUCUACUAGUUCUUAUUUCCUGUUGUUUGUUUGUUAUUUUAAUUGUUUUUGUUCUUGACUUUCCUAUUUAUUUAAUUAUGCUAGAAGAAAUCACAAGAAUCAAGAACAAAGUUGAUAAAGCUUUGGCUCAAAUUAAGAAGGACAUGAAAAGCCAGUACCUGCUUUUAUUUGUCACUUAAAUUCUUCUACUUGUGCUUAUUUCGUCUUUGUUUGAUAGUCCCUCCAUCCCAAAUUACUAUUCUUUUUUUGCUUUUCUAGAUUCAUAUGCAGCAAUGUUGAGAAAUCGGUGCCCCGAACUUGACACCGACUUCCUAGAAGUGGCACCAAAAUAGUGUGCUAUCACUUCUUUUGUAAACCCUUACCCACACUACUUCGAGAAAACUUUCGUACUGACACCAACGUGGGAGACCAACUCUCUACAAGGACACUCAAAUCUUUAUUCACUACUCAAUUUGAUACAAGACUCACUUGCACACUCUUUGUGUGGCUAUCCUACCAUAAACCACUACACUACAGGGUUACCUUGCAAUCUCCUACUUGAGACCUCUUAUGUCAUGGUAUGGCUAGAAGGGAGGGGAGCACCUCUAUUUCUAGGUGCUCAUGAUCAUUGUGGUGUUGUCAUGUGACAACUUUCACACUCUUCCAUACAAAACAUCCUAACUCUAAAACCCUCCUCAUCCUUAUCUACUUUCUUAUAUUUCUACCAUGGUAAAAUAUCUAGUUCUAGAGUAUUCUAGACUUCACCAUGAAGCAUGGCAACUAUGACUCAUACAUUCUCUCCAAUUUUCUAGAACCUUCUUA